GCGCGGGCAGCGGCGGCCCAAGAUGGCGGAGCUGCAGCUGGACCCGGCAGUGGCGGGGCUGGGAGGGGGUGGCAGCAGUGCGAUGGGCGACGGCGGCGGCUCGGGCCGCGGACCCCCCAGCCCUCGCCCUGCGGGCCCGACACCCCGCGGACACGGCCGCCAGCCCGCCGCCGCCGCGCAGCCGCUGGAGCCCGGGCCCGGACCUCCGGAGCGGACGGGAGGCGGCGGGGCCGCCCGCUGGGUCCGGCUCAACGUGGGCGGUACCUACUUCGUGACCACCAGACAGACCCUAGGCCGGGAGCCCAAGUCCUUCCUCUGCCGCCUGUGCUGCCAGGAGGACCCGGAGCUGGACUCCGACAAGGACGAGACUGGAGCGUAUCUGAUUGACAGAGACCCUACCUACUUUGGUCCUAUCCUAAACUACCUCCGCCAUGGGAAACUCAUCAUUACCAAGGAGUUGGCAGAAGAAGGUGUGCUGGAAGAAGCAGAGUUUUACAAUAUCGCAUCUCUCGUGCGGCUGGUUAAGGAAAGGAUACGAGACAAUGAGAACAGAACUUCACAAGGCCCCGUGAAGCACGUGUACAGGGUCCUGCAGUGUCAAGAGGAAGAGCUCACGCAGAUGGUCUCCACUAUGUCUGAUGGCUGGAAAUUUGAACAGUUAAUCAGCAUUGGCUCUUCCUAUAACUAUGGAAAUGAAGACCAGGCAGAAUUCCUCUGUGUUGUCUCCAGAGAACUAAAUAAUUCUACCAAUGGCAUCGUCAUAGAGCCGAGCGAAAAGGCCAAGGGAAAACAAAAGGAGGUGGAGAGUGACAGAGUGACAGAGCAAGAGGAGCCGUUUCCACUCUGGCCGCCACCCUGCAUGCACACCCACACAUGUGCACACUUAUGCCACACUCGAAAAGCUGAUGGGAGCUGAGCCUGGACCAGGGCAGUGCCCUGCAGACACACACUACACACUUGUGAAGAACCUGUGUGCUGACUGUGAGCCGCUUUCUUUAACUUGGAAAACUUUGGUCUAACAGCACAGAACCUUCUGGUCAUCUGUACCUGGCAAGAGAACCCAUUGCACUCAGAUUCUUCAGGAGAGAGGCUCUCGAAUGUAAGCGGACAGUCUGAAGUUUCAGAACCCUGAAGGCAAGAGAGCAAUCGGCCCAGCAGCUGCGACGGAGAUCCUGCACCUGUACAGUAACCGAGCUACUGCAAAGCAAAGCUGCGCCUGGUCCCGAGAAGUGGUGUCCGGCCGGCCAAGCCAGAGGAGCCCCACCGCCUGGAUGAAGACAGUGCGCCUCUGGCUGCACGGUCCCUUUUCAGAAACCUGCUUUUGUUUUCUAGCCAGUGUUAGAACAGACCUUCACAACAGCAUCUGGGAUGGGUCCCUGGCUGGAGCUUGUGGGGAGUUGGGGGGAAAGGAGUAAGGUCUAGCUCCCUGGAACAGUCUAGAUGCUUUUCUAAAAGCCUGAGCCGAGGAAGAAGGCUUGUCCUGAGCUGUGCCUGGUCUCAGCCUGCGUGCGCCAUGAUGGACAUGAGCAGCUGCUUGGACCAUUCUUCCCUGGGCAGGGCAUUCCGUGUUAGUGUGGUGGACCCAAGUUCUGGGUACAGAACAAAGUUGCUGAAGGACCCACAAUCCUAUGAACAGAGCCUCAGAGGCAGGAGGAUAAGGUGUCCUGUAGUGUGGUUGGAGCGUGGGAGUUGCUGUUCCUGGUCCCACGAGUGGAUCACCUGGUGUCUCUCAGCCAGGCCCCUCGUAGCCCAUCCUCACCCAGAGGUUUGAGGCUGCGGCAUCCUAAGCCGUGCUAGAUGGACAUCGGGACUGAGCAGUUGCUGUAACUGCUUCUGCAGCCUUUUCCUACCUGGUUGACCCCGUCUUCCUCCCCCAGCUUCUUGAACUGGACCAAAGAGAAAGGACUUUGUGGGCCUCUGUAAUGGCUUGGGGUGAGGAAGGCUGUUCUGUGGACGCUGCCAAAUGUGUCAUAUUGUCAUAGCUAAAAGUGGUGGUGUGUUUGUGGUUGUCUCUUGAACAUGCGCUGAUAGGUGA